rnacentral:rRNA from 1 species
UGGGGAAUUUUCCGCAAUGGGCGCAAGCCUGACGGAGCAAUACCGCGUGAGGGAGGAAGGCUUUUGGGUUGUAAACCUCUUUUGUUAAGGAAGAAGCAAGUGACGGUACCCGUGGAGGAAGCACCGGCUAACUCUGUGCCAGCAGCCGCGGUAAUACAGAGGGUGCAAACGUUGCUCGGAAUGACUGGGCGUAAAGCGCGCGCAGGUGGCCCGUUAAGUCGGCUGUGAAAUCCCCUGGCUCAACCAGGGAAGUGCAGUCGAUACUGGCGGGCUCGAGUCCCGGAGAGGGUGGUAGAAUUCCCAGUGUAGAGGUGAAAUUCGUAGAUAUUGGGAGGAAUACCGGUGGCGAAGGCGACCACCUGGACGGGUACUGACACUGAGGCGCGAAAGCGUGGGGAGCAAACAGGAUUAGAUACCCCCGUAGUCC